GUGUUAUCGAGUGUAGAGAAACGAGAAGAUCAAGAUUUUUUUGUAACACAAAGAGAUAUUCGCACAAGUAUGAAAUCAUAUCAUCAGAUCUUCGAAUUGGUUUUCUAUUCGUACAUGUAAAGUUCGUACUCACGACGACAAUGAAAUCAUUAAGCUAGAGCUUGAACAUUUGCAUAGGUUGCUAGUGUUUUCUUCCUGAAAUAAGAGCUACCAGUUUUCCGGCUUUUGUGUCCGCCUAACUCUAUAUAUAGGAACUCUAGUUCUUUCGGGUGAAAACGCGGGCCCCCAAAUACAACCAUGGCAAUUGCCCUGGCUGACCCCCCUUCUCAUCGGACCGAUUUAAUUUUGGCGAAAAUCGGGAGUAACUUUAAUGGGAUAACGGAAGCACAUCCAUUUUGUUCCUGAAAAUGUCCCACGUUCAACAAGCAGAAGAAAUUCGGAGCGGUGCGGACCCCCAAGACUCUCCUCCUGGAUCCGCCACUGGCUGGAACCUUUUAAAAGGCAUUCUGAUCAUGAGUACAGUCAUCCAUAAUUUCAGAGUGUUCUAUAAUAAAUGUGCUGAUAGAAUCGUAAUGUUGUGAGCGAUAAAUGUAACGAAAAUAAAGCAAAUAUUGCAUAAAAACGCGAAUUUCAGUGCAAUAAUAACGCGAAUUUUUUUUAUAAAAACUAUUACCGUAAACCGGGGUGACAUUGAUCACUUUUCGAAGCAAUCAUUACAUAUUUUUAGACACAACACAUUUUUUCAAGUAUAUUAUUUUUAAACCAUGUACUGACGUAUGGAGAACAAGAUUGGAUGGUUUUACCUAAAAUUGUCCGCUUACAGCUAUUUUUCCAAAAAUGAUUUCAAGUUGAAGUCCGUUUUCGUAUUCCGGGGUGACUUUGAUAACCUGCAUGUUCACCCAUAUUAAGUUAUUGAUGUCAAUGUUUUCAUUCAAAUGUUUGUUUAAGCUAGUUCUGGAAAGAUAAUUAUUGUUAAAUAGAUGUUAAUUGAUAUUAUACAAAGUAUUUCAAUGUACUGUAAGAUUCGAGCAACCAAAAUUCGUAUAAUGUGUGUCCAACUAGAAUAAAUGAUUCUGAAAACGUUUAAACGUGCUAAAAUUGUUUAAUUUAAGUGCUUUAUCAAUGUACAAAAAGUUUCAUCCAUUUUAACACGUAAGAAUAUUGAACAAUAAAAUGAUUUGAAAUAAUUGCCAACUAGUUUCCCAAAAUUGUAUUUAAAAUAAACAAACUCUUAAAAGUAAAUUUGGCACCUCCCACUAUAAAGGAAAAUAAAAA